rnacentral:tRNA from 1 species
GGCUCUGUGGCACAAUGGAUAGUGCAUUGGACUUCUAAUUCAAAGGUUCUGGGUUCGAGUCCCAGCAGAGUCA